rnacentral:misc_RNA from 1 species
GAUGAAGAACGCAGCGAAAUGCGAUAACUAAUGUGAAUUGCAGAAUUCAGUGAAUCAUCGAGUCUUUGAACGCACAUUGCGCCCCCUGGUAUUCCGGGGGGCAUGCCUGUCCGAGCGUCAUUGCUGCCCUCAAGCACGGCUUGUGUGUUGGGCUCCGUCCCCCCGGGGACGGGCCCGAAAGGCAGCGGCGGCACCGAGUCCGGUCCUCGAGCGUAUGGGGCUUUGUCACCCGCUCUGUAGGCCCGGCCGGCGCCAGCCGACACAUCAAUCUUUUUUCCAGGUUGACCUCGGAUCAGGUAGGGAUACCCGCUGAACUUAAGCAUAUCAAUAAGCGGAGGA